rnacentral:snoRNA from 1 species
UAUCUAAUAUGGGGGUAAGCAGUCCCUUACACCUGAUAACCAUCCUCUUCACUUUUUCUGCUGAAACCUUCUGUUUUUAGCUGGACAUCAAGGGAUGAGAUAUUU